UUUCAGAUGUUCAAGGAAUGCAAGCCAUUCAGGAGUGGGAUUUGGUCGAAAAUUUUCAAGGAGUGUUGGAGUACCAGACAAGGUAUUCCAAGUUUCAAAA